UACGGGGGGAGCAAGCGUUGUUCGGAUUUACUGGGAGUAAAGGGCGCGUAGGCGGCCACGACAAGUCACUUGUGAAAUCUCCGGGCUUAACUCGGAACGGUCAGCUGAUACUGCUUUGCUAGAGUGCAGAAGGGGCAAUCGGAAUUCUUGGUGUAGCGGUGAAAUGCGUAGAUAUCAAGAGGAACACCUGAGGUGAAGACGGGUUGCUGGGCUGACACUGACGCUGAGGCGCGAAAGCUAGGGUAGCAAACGGG
rnacentral:rRNA from 1 species